UACGUAGGGGGCGAGCGUUAUCCGGAAUUAUUGGGCGUAAAGAGUGCGUAGGUGGUUACCUAAGCGCAGGGUUUAAGGCAAUGGCUCAACCAUUGUAUGCCUUGCGAACUGGGCUACUUGAGUGCAGGAGAGGAAAGCGGAAUUCCUAGUGUAGCGGUGAAAUGCGUAGAUAUUAGGAGGAACACCAGUGGCGAAGGCGGCUUUCUGGACUGUAACUGACACUGAGGCACGAAAGCGUGGGGAGCAAACA
rnacentral:rRNA from 1 species